rnacentral:ncRNA from 2 species
GAAAACCGGUGAGAAUCCGGUACGGUGCCGCCACUGUAAGGGGGAGCCGCUGUAAGUUUUAUCAACACUGGAGAGCAGUCUCUGGGAAGUUGUUACAGCUGGCAAUGAACCCAAGUCAGGAUAC